rnacentral:rRNA from 1 species
CCUACGGGUGGCUGCAGUGGGGAAUAUUGGACAAUGGGCGAAAGCCUGAUUCAGCCAUGCCGCGUGUGUGAAGAAGGCCUUCGGGUUGUAAAGCACUUUCAGUGGGGAAGAAAGCCUUGGGGCUAAUACCCUCGAGGAAGGACAUCACCCACAGAAGAAGCACCGGCUAACUCCGUGCCAGCAGCCGCGGUAAUACGGAGGGUGCGAGCGUUAAUCGGAAUUACUGGGCGUAAAGCGCGCGUAGGCGGUCUGAUAAGCCGGUUGUGAAAGCCCCGGGCUCAACCUGGGAACGGCAUCCGGAACUGUCAGGCUAGAGUGCAGGAGAGGAAGGUAGAAUUCCCGGUGUAGCGGUGAAAUGCGUAGAGAUCGGGAGGAAUACCAGUGGCGAAGGCGGCCUUCUGGACUGACACUGACGCUGAGGUGCGAAAGCGUGGGUAGCAAACAGGAUUAGAUACCCCAGUAGUC